UCUUCUAUAUCCUGGGGCCGGUGCAGCCAGGAUGAGCUGCUCACAUGGGGAGGACAGGUGAAUCAGGCCAAAUUACGCAUCAGUGGAAAUGUUGCCCAAACAAAACUGAUGGAGCAGAUCUUGGGGAAAGACAAGGGUGUGAACCUGCCUGGGAAUGAGGCCUGGUCUUGUGGAUGGACUUAGCUUCGCGGGGCAUAUCGCUCUGGCCCAGGGUGGUAGGUAAUGUGGACUCAGACUGGUGGAGCCCAGGUCUGGGUAUGAGUGAGGCAAGUCCUCAAUUGGAGGUGAGGGGUGGUCUGAGGAGCAGCUGCAAAGGCAAGGAGCUGUCCUCAUGCGUGGCUGGUGUGGCACCUGUCUGCCGGCUGGGGCUGCUGAGGCAGGGUGCUUGUUGAGAGUAACAUUGACAGACCUUUAUUUUCCAGGUGACAAUGGCCCCCCACUGGACUUUCCCUAGGUUUCGUGCUAAUCUCUUCUGUGAGCUCACUCUACCCUUCCUCCUCCCUCUAACUCUGUGAGGUUGCCCCUUAAACGUGUCAUCAGGUGGUAAGCCUGGGAAAGUGCCUGGAACUGCUGUUGGAGUUGGUAUCUUUGGUAAUGGUGGAGGAGGAAAGGCCCACUCCCCAUUGGUGGGGUGGGUUUGGUGCUGCUUUUAGAAGGGUGGGGAUUGAAUGUGCACCCUUGGGUGGGCCUGCAGUGGUAGCUUUAUUUAAAAGUCACAUGCCUCAUGGACGUGGUUUGUUACUGUAGUGUUCAUCAUGGCGAGCAAAUGGCACCAGGAGAAAUGGAGCCCCUGCCAGUGUGUGAGUCGUAGCAGUACAGGAGGGGAGACCCUGAAGGAAACAGCCUGAUUAAAUUGAAGCCUGCAGAUUGAAUUCCAGAGGCUUAGGAGGAGUUCUCCAGUGCCAUAUGUCCAGGCCUUGAUCGGGAAGCCCUGUGUUUAGGCCUCCACUGAGUUUUCAGAUGAGCUUAUGGGGGGCAAUCCAAAAAUCCAGAGCAGAUGCAUCCGGCUUUUGAGGGGCCAGCAGCUAUGAAUGAAUGCCUGUUCCAGGAGCACCAUCCUAUGGGCACGUUGAAUGCCAUCAGGCACCCUUCUUUUCCUGGGGAUAGAGGUUUUCAGAUGCUGCGACUUCUAAAUAGAGCCUCAAGUCAUUCUAGUUCUGUGCUGCGAACCUUGCUUCAAGAAGAUUAAGCUGUAGAACAUUAACGAUGCCACAACGCAGAGUGAUGCCUGGUAGAUGGCGCUUGCAGAUGGAGCCAGUGACCUGUCACCUCCCGCCUCCCUGCCCAAAAGCGCUGGCCAGAGGAAUUCUUAGUGUGAUGAUGAAACUCUUGGGUGUUGGGGGAAGCUGUUAAUUUUAAAUGUCUUGUGUGUAGGGGAUGUGUUGGCAAAUUGUGGAGGGUGGGGACUUAAGUGUUGUGCUAGUCUGGGAGGGUACAAGCUGAUCGUGCCAAGUGCUGGGUGUUGGAAGUGGUAUAUCUAGUUUGGACAUCGUGAUGGCAUCGAAGAUUGCUGAAAAGAAUGAAUGGUGGGCAUACUGAUAGUUAUUUAUGUGUUGGUGUUGGGACUUUAUGAUGCAUACCAAGCUAGUGUCCACCACUAGUAGCUUCCCCUGGUCCAAAUCUUGAUUUCUUCUUACUGCAUUUAUUUAAACUUGAUUUUUGACUAGAUUUCAGAAAAUGGGGUUCCAACUGGGAGGGUUCCUGAGGUGGGAGCUGGGAUUGGUGGGGAUGAAGACAAGGAGAUGGGAUGAGGGUGGUGGUCGAGUGGGGAGGGUGAGAGGUUGCGAUGUGGCUGGAAGGAAUUGGGAGUAUGGGUGGACGGGGAUUUAAUAGGGUUUGCCAGUGAAGAAAAUGCUAAUUAAUGAUAAAUUAUUAAUGCUGGUUAAAGUGUUGUUUGGCAGUAAAAAUUACAUGAAAAUUUUGUAAAAGUGCUUAGAACUUGAAGAUAAAGGAAAAAAGCAAAAUUGUUUUGUUUUGCUGAAAACUGGAGAAAAUUGAAAAGGUUUGCCUAAAAUCCAGAAUAUUUAGUCAUUUAAAAAAUGACCUGAAAAAGAAAAAUGAUCUCAAACUUUAGGUGGUUUUUCUGAAGCUGUGAAAGUGUGGUUUGCUCCCCCCACCCCACCCCCAGGAGUAAAAUGUGUUAGACUUCUAAAUGCCUGCCUUGUGGGUUUUUAAAGCUUAUGUGUGCCCUUGAGACUAGAUGGGUUCUGCUGGGCUCAUAAUUCAUAGCCACUGAGAUUUUAUGGUCACUGAAGCUUGUGACCAUAGUAUAAAUGUGAUGACUUCUGGAGCAAUUCCGUAUGCAAGUUUUAUAAAACAGUCUUUCUGUGGUAGGUCCGUAAUUGUAAUAGCAAAGCUUCUGCUUGCUUGCUUGUUUUAUCCUUUCCAUUGGUAGUCUUUGUAACAAGAAGAGCCAAAUAACUUUGUGGUCACUGAAAUUGCUGUGAUAUUUAAUAGCAAACAAUCCUGUUACCUUGGGUAAGGUUACAGUGAAUAAUUGCAUCUUUAGUUUGACUGUGGUAUUUAAAUGAUUCAGAACUACACUGGGAGAAGCAGACGCCUUACUACACAGGCUCUGUAAAAAUUUAGGAGCGUUUUAGUAAUUGUUUUGAGUUGCUUCUGUUGGUAAAGUCGUAUCAGUGGUUUAAGUUUCUUGCCUUUAAUUUCACUUUAAAAAGUUUAAAUCAGUAUUUUUAUCCUUGAGGUUUUUCUGUUUUGAGGCGUAUUAAAUGUUUAAUACGUAUGAUGGUGUACUUUAGUUCCUAACCCGUGAUUUGGGUCCCUGUCCUUAGAACUUGGAGCUGAGGAGAUGGCUCAGUGGAAUAAGUGCUUCCCUGGCAAACUCAAGGGCCUGAGUUCAAUCCCCGGUUCCGCAAAAAAAAAAAAAAAAAAAAAAAAAACCUUCAAGUGUAUUAGUCUCUUGUGUGGGGAAAUACUUCUGGGUCUGAGCUUAAAAGUGUACUACUCACGUUUGCUUUGGGAAAUAUUUUUGAGUAUGCUGUUGUGAAAUGGGAGUUGUAAAAACAGGUGAUUACAAGUACUUGUUUGUUACUGUGUACGGUGAGAACUCUUCUGUUGCAUCGUGUAUGUAAUUACUAAUCCUUUUUCUUCCCUUUUACAGCAUAAAUAAAGGUUUGAGUUAUAAGCUCCUUA